GGGAGUAUAACUCAGUUGGUAGAGUGCUUGCCUUGCAUACACAAGGCCCUGGGUUCAAUCCCCAGUAUCCCCC
rnacentral:tRNA from 1 species